GAUUAAGUUAUUAAGGGCGCACGGUGGAUGCCUUGGCACUAGAAGCCGAUGAAGGACGUUACUAACGACGAUAUGCUUUGGGGAGCUGUAAGUAAGCUUUGAUCCAGAGAUUUCCGAAUGGGGAAACCCAGCAUGAGUUAUGUCAUGUUAUCGAUAUGUGAAUACAUAGCAUAUCAGAAGGCACACCCGGAGAACUGAAACAUCUUAGUACCCGGAGGAAGAGAAAGAAAAUUCGAUUCCCUUAGUAGCGGCGAGCGAAACGGGAAGAGCCCAAACCAACAAGCUUGCUUGUUGGGGUUGUAGGACACUCUAUACGGAGUUACAAAGGACGACAUUAGACGAAUCAUCUGGAAAGAUGAAUCAAAGAAGGUAAUAAUCCUGUAGUCGAAAAUGUUGUCUCUCUUGAGUGGAUCCUGAGUACGACGGAGCACGUGAAAUUCCGUCGGAAUCUGGGAGGACCAUCUCCUAAGGCUAAAUACUCUCUAGUGACCGAUAGUGAACCAGUACCGUGAGGGAAAGGUGAAAAGCACCCCGGAAGGGGAGUGAAAUAGAACCUGAAACCGUGUGCUUACAAGUAGUCAGAGCCCGUUAAUGGGUGAUGGCGUGCCUUUUGUAGAAUGAACCGGCGAGUUACGAUUUGAUGCAAGGUUAAGCAGUAAAUGUGGAGCCGUAGCGAAAGCGAGUCUGAAUAGGGCGUUUAGUAUUUGGUCGUAGACCCGAAACCAGGUGAUCUACCCUUGGUCAGGUUGAAGUUCAGGUAACACUGAAUGGAGGACCGAACCGACUUACGUUGAAAAGUGAGCGGAUGAACUGAGGGUAGCGGAGAAAUUCCAAUCGAACCUGGAGAUAGCUGGUUCUCUCCGAAAUAGCUUUAGGGCUAGCCUCAAGUGAUGAUUAUUGGAGGUAGAGCACUGUUUGGACGAGGGGCCCCUCUCGGGUUACCGAAUUCAGACAAACUCCGAAUGCCAAUUAAUUUAACUUGGGAGUCAGAACAUGGGUGAUAAGGUCCGUGUUCGAAAGGGAAACAGCCCAGACCACCAGCUAAGGUCCCAAAAUAUAUGUUAAGUGGAAAAGGAUGUGGCGUUGCCCAGACAACUAGGAUGUUGGCUUAGAAGCAGCCAUCAUUUAAAGAGUGCGUAAUAGCUCACUAGUCGAGUGACACUGCGCCGAAAAUGUACCGGGGCUAAACAUAUUACCGAAGCUGUGGAUUGUCCUUUGGACAAUGGUAGGAGAGCGUUCUAAGGGCGUUGAAGCAUGAUCGUAAGAACAUGUGGAGCGCUUAGAAGUGAGAAUGCCGGUGUGAGUAGCGAAAGACGGGUGAGAAUCCCGUCCACCGAUUGACUAAGGUUUCCAGAGGAAGGCUCGUCCGCUCUGGGUUAGUCGGGUCCUAAGCUGAGGCCGACAGGCGUAGGCGAUGGAUAACAGGUUGAUAUUCCUGUACCACCUAUAAUCGUUUUAAUCGAUGGGGGGACGCAGUAGGAUAGGCGAAGCGUGCGAUUGGAUUGCACGUCUAAGCAGUAAGGCUGAGUAUUAGGCAAAUCCGGUACUCGUUAAGGCUGAGCUGUGAUGGGGAGAAGACAUUGUGUCUUCGAGUCAUUGAUUUCACACUGCCGAGAAAAGCCUCUAGAUAGAAAAUAGGUGCCCGUACCGCAAACCGACACAGGUAGUCAAGAUGAGAAUUCUAAGGUGAGCGAGCGAACUCUCGUUAAGGAACUCGGCAAAAUGACCCCGUAACUUCGGGAGAAGGGGUGCUCUUUAGGGUUAACGCCCAGAAGAGCCGCAGUGAAUAGGCCCAAGCGACUGUUUAUCAAAAACACAGGUCUCUGCUAAACCGUAAGGUGAUGUAUAGGGGCUGACGCCUGCCCGGUGCUGGAAGGUUAAGAGGAGUGGUUAGCUUCUGCGAAGCUACGAAUCGAAGCCCCAGUAAACGGCGGCCGUAACUAUAACGGUCCUAAGGUAGCGAAAUUCCUUGUCGGGUAAGUUCCGACCCGCACGAAAGGCGUAACGAUUUGGGCACUGUCUCAACGAGAGACUCGGUGAAAUCAUAGUACCUGUGAAGAUGCAGGUUACCCGCGACAGGACGGAAAGACCCCGUGGAGCUUUACUGUAGCCUGAUAUUGAAAUUCGGCACAGCUUGUACAGGAUAGGUAGGAGCCUUUGAAACGUGAGCGCUAGCUUACGUGGAGGCGCUGGUGGGAUACUACCCUAGCUGUGUUGGCUUUCUAACCCGCACCACUUAUCGUGGUGGGAGACAGUGUCAGGCGGGCAGUUUGACUGGGGCGGUCGCCUCCUAAAAGGUAACGGAGGCGCUCAAAGGUUCCCUCAGAAUGGUUGGAAAUCAUUCAUAGAGUGUAAAGGCAUAAGGGAGCUUGACUGCGAGACCUACAAGUCGAGCAGGGUCGAAAGACGGACUUAGUGAUCCGGUGGUUCCGCAUGGAAGGGCCAUCGCUCAACGGAUAAAAGCUACCCCGGGGAUAACAGGCUUAUCUCCCCCAAGAGUUCACAUCGACGGGGAGGUUUGGCACCUCGAUGUCGGCUCAUCGCAUCCUGGGGCUGUAGUCGGUCCCAAGGGUUGGGCUGUUCGCCCAUUAAAGCGGUACGCGAGCUGGGUUCAGAACGUCGUGAGACAGUUCGGUCCCUAUCCGUCGUGGGCGUAGGAAAUUUGAGAGGAGCUGUCCUUAGUACGAGAGGACCGGGAUGGACAUACCUCUGGUGUACCAGUUGUCGUGCCAACGGCAUAGCUGGGUAGCUAUGUGUGGACGGGAUAAGUGCUGAAAGCAUCUAAGCAUGAAGCCCCCCUCAAGAUGAGAUUUCCCAACUUCGGUUAUAAGAUCCCUCAAAGAUGAUGAGGUUAAUAGGUUCGAGGUGGAAGCAUGGUGACAUGUGGAGCUGACGAAUACUAAUCGAUCGAAGACUUAAUCAA
rnacentral:rRNA from 1 species